GUCCGCGUGGUGUAGUGGUUCGAGCGUUGGACUACGAUCCUGAAGACCAGGGUUCGAAUCCCGGCUCGGCUC